UACGAAGGGGGCUAGCGUUGCUCGGAAUUACUGGGCGUAAAGCGCACGUAGGCGGCUUUCUAAGUCGGGGGUGAAAUCCUGGAGCUCAACUCCAGAACUGCCUUCGAUACUGGAGAGCUCGAGUCCGGGAGAGGUGAGUGGGACUGCGAGUGUAGAGGUGAAAUUCGUAGAUAUUCGCAAGAACACCAGUGGCGAAGGCGGCUCACUGGCCCGGAACUGACGCUGAGACGCGAAAGCGUGGGGAGCAAACAGG
rnacentral:rRNA from 1 species